rnacentral:rRNA from 1 species
AGUUUGAUCCUGGCUCAGGAUGAACGCUAGCUACAGGCUUAACACAUGCAAGUCGAGGGGAAACGACAUCGAAAGCUUGCUUUUGAUGGGCGUCGACCGGCGCACGGGUGAGUAACGCGUAUCCAACCUGCCCACCACUUGGGGAUAACCUUGCGAAAGUAAGACUAAUACCCAAUGAUAUCUCUAGAAGACAUCUGAAAGAGAUUAAAGAUUUAUCGGUGAUGGAUGGGGAUGCGUCUGAUUAGCUUGUUGGCGGGGUAACGGCCCACCAAGGCGACGAUCAGUAGGGGUUCUGAGAGGAAGGUCCCCCACAUUGGAACUGAGACACGGUCCAAACUCCUACGGGAGGCAGCAGUGAGGAAUAUUGGUCAAUGGACGAGAGUCUGAACCAGCCAAGUAGCGUGCAGGAUGACGGCCCUAUGGGUUGUAAACUGCUUUUAUAAGGGAAUAAAGUGAGUCUCGUGAGACUUUUUGCAUGUACCUUAUGAAUAAGGACCGGCUAAUUCCGUGCCAGCAGCCGCGGUAAUACGGAAGGUCCGGGCGUUAUCCGGAUUUAUUGGGUUUAAAGGGAGCGUAGGCCGGAGAUUAAGCGUGUUGUGAAAUGUAGACGCUCAACGUCUGCACUGCAGCGCGAACUGGUUUCCUUGAGUACGCACAAAGUGGGCGGAAUUCGUGGUGUAGCGGUGAAAUGCUUAGAUAUCACGAAGAACUCCGAUUGCGAAGGCAGCUCACUGGAGCGCAACUGACGCUGAAGCUCGAAAGUGCGGGUAUCGAACAGGAUUAGAUACCCUGGUAGUCCGCACGGUAAACGAUGGAUGCCCGCUGUUGGUCUGAAUAGGUCAGCGGCCAAGCGAAAGCAUUAAGCAUCCCACCUGGGGAGUACGCCGGCAACGGUGAAACUCAAAGGAAUUGACGGAAGG